rnacentral:rRNA from 1 species
GUCGUCAGCUCGUGUCGUGAGAUGUUGGGUUAAGUCCCGGCAACGAGCGCAACCUCGACCUUAGUUGCCAGCAUUCAGUUGGGCACUCUAAGGUGACUGCCGGCUAAAAGUCGGAGGAAGGUGGGGAUGACGUCAAAUCAUCAUGCCCCUUAUGACCUGGGCUACACACGUGCUACAAUGGGCGGUACAAAGGGUCGCGAACCCGCGAGGGGGAGCCAAUCCCAAAAAGCCGCUCUCAGUUCGGAUUGCAGGCUGCAACUCGCCUGCAUGAAGCCGGAAUCGCUAGUAAUCGCGGAUCAGCAUGCCGCGGUGAAUACGUUCCCGGGCCUU